rnacentral:rRNA from 1 species
GGGCUCACACAAGCGGUGGAGGAUGUGGCUUAAUUCGAGGAUACGCGAAGAACCUUAUCCUGGUCUUGACAUGUUUAGGAACCUCGGUGAAAGUCGAGGGUGCCCUUCGGGAGCCUUUACACAGGUGCUGCAUGGCCGUCGUCAGCUCGUGCCGUGAGGUGUCAGUUAAGUCCUAUAACGAGCGCAACCCCUGCCGUUAGUUGCCAGCAUGUAAUGAUGGGAACUCUAACGGGACUGCCGGUGCAAACCGCGAGGAAGGUGGGGAUGACGUCAAAUCAUCACGGCCCUUACGUCCUGGCUACACACGUGCUACAAUGGCCGGUACAGAGGGCAGCCACACCGCAAGGUGGAGCGAA